rnacentral:rRNA from 1 species
AUUGAACGCUGGCGGCAGGCCUAACACAUGCAAGUCGAACGGUAACAGGAAGCAGCUUGCUGCUUCGCUGACGAGUGGCGGAAGGGUGAGGAAUGUCUGGGAAACUGCCCGAUAGAGGGGGAUAACUACUGGAAACGGUAGCUAAUACCGCAUAACGUCGCAAGACCAAAGAGGGGGACCUUAGGGCCUCUUGCCAUCGGAUGGGCCCAGAUGGGGUUAGCUAGUAGGUGGGGUAACGGCUCACCUAGGCGACGAUCCCUAGCUGGUCUGAGAGGAUGACCAGCCACACUGGAACUGAGACACGGUCCAGACUCCUACGGGAGGCAGCAGUGGGGAAUAUUGCACAAUGGGCGCAAGCCUGAUGCAGCCAUGCCGCGUGUAUGAAGAAGGCCUUCGGGUUGUAAAGUACUUUCAGCGGGGAGGAAGGGAGUAAAGUUAAUACCUUUGCUCAUUGACGUUACCCGCAGAAGAAGCACCGGCUAACUCCGUG